UUCUUUUUUAGAUUCGGUUACCAUAAAUUUAAAAUACAAAUAUGCAAAUCUCACUUAUUAAAUAGGUGAAUUUCACUAUAUAUUCUUUGAAUCAGGUUUAUGUAAAAAUUUUUUCACACUUUCACAUCAUUCACUGCUAGUUUCUCCGAAUCUAUCAAUGGCUUUGGCUACUUCUUGAUCCCAAUUAGUGCAUGCAUUUACUGUAACAAGUGCCACAACUUGUACUGAGAGCCCAAAUAUGAUUCCCAUCCAAAGCCCCAUGCCUCCAAUAUGCAAGACAAAAGCAAAGAGCAAAGCACAAGGAAUUGCUACAACAUAAUAAGCCCCAAGGUUGAUAAAUGCACAUAGAUUUUGCCAUCCACAUCCUCUAGCAGCACCUCUUCUUCAUUGCUGUAGAGCUUUCCCCAUUGUCUGCGUACCAAAAUUGUACUGAUUCCGACCACUGCACCUUCUGAGAGUGCUAUUAUGAUCAUGACACAGAGAGCCAGACGCGCACCUUGUGGGCGCCCUGCCCCUAGUUCAUUUGAUACUCUUGUA
rnacentral:misc_RNA from 1 species